rnacentral:rRNA from 1 species
UACGUAGGGGGCAAGCGUUGUCCGGAUUUAUUGGGCGUAAAGAGCGUGUAGGCGGUUUGGUAGGUCCGCUGUGAAAACUCGAGGCUCAACCUCGAGACGCCGGUGGAAACCAUCAGACUAGAGUCCGGAAGAGGAGAGUGGAAUUCCUGGUGUAGCGGUGAAAUGCGUAGAGAUCGGGAAGAACAUCGGUGGCGAAAGCGCUCUGCUGGACUGCAACUGACAUUGAGGGACGAAAGCUAGGGGAGCGAAUGGG